GGUGGGUUUUAUUUUACAUACAAUGUAUCUUGAGUUAUAUAAGCUCUGAUAUUUCAUGAAAAUUAUCUGUUUAUCCAAUAUAAAUGUUUUUAUGUGCGUUCUGUAAUUGUUUAAGGCUCACUUAAGUAUCGAUCGAGAUUCUCAUUUGGCCUAACACGCUAAAUGAGGAUUGUGUACACAGGGUUAGUGGCUCGAUGGGUUGAUCACCAUCGUGCACUAACAGAUUUAGAACGUUAUAAGGGUGGGUGCUUGACAGGAGGUUAUCCGGAGCACGGUGCUUGACAGGAGGUUAUCCGGAGCACAGUUAAGGUUAUUGAUUCUGACCGGGUGCGUCCCGAGAUCAAUAACAAUUUUGGAUCUGACUGGGUGGUCCCGAGAUCAGUGAAUGUGGGAGAAAGUGAGUAACAAUCGAACGUACAUGGCGCGCCACUUAUGAAGAAAAUUUUGUCAUGCUUAGAAGUGGGAUUCGUUUUAAAACCUUCUAAGUCAUGAUUUGAUAUUGGAUAAACUGCUUGAUUAUUUCAUAAAAUAUUUCGAAACUUGUGCCCAUGAGUACAUUAGUACUCAGCCCAAAUUAUUUUCAAAUGUUUUCAGGUUGAUCAGUUGGUGCAGAGAGGCUGAGCUGAGGCUAGGUUCCACGAUGUCUUUUGCUUCCGCUAAUAACUAUCUUGUCACUCAUCCUCCAUCCCCUAAAUUGAGAAUUUCUAUUGUGUGGUAUAAUAUUAUCUUGUUGGGCUUAGACUCUUAACCCAUAUUUCUUUAAUGAGCAUCAUGAUUAUGAUCAGAGUCACGAAACUAAACUAUGCGAUCCUGAGUUCGAAUAUUGUCAUUUGAUUAGAUCUCUUAAUGCCUUUCAUUUUAUCUCCUUUCAUCUUAUCUCUUUAGAUAUGCAUACCCGAUUUAAUGGGUAAAUUAAUUUAUUCAGCUCAAUUAAGUUCUUCAAUUAUUUUCCUAUUUCUUUUGCCUGGAAAGUCGGGUCUUACAAGUGGUAUCAGAGCGUAAGUUUUCUUUCGUGUCUCUGACUACCGCUAGUUUAACUAUUUCGAGUCUAGAAUUGUACCUCUAGACUACUAAGCAAUUCUGCAACCCUCAGCUCAUCGUCUCACUGCCUGAUCAACAAAGGUACGUUAUCAAAAAUUUCAAAUAAAUAUUUUGUUUCAAGAAAUGGCGCAAAGAUUACUUGUGAAAUUUGAAUGAUUCACAAUGCAAGAGAUAUUGUUAUGCAAAGAAAAAAGUUGAUUUGGACCAGAGUCCUUACAAGAAGCAAAGUAUGUAAUCAUGAGGGACUCUCCGAGCCCACAUGAUCUUUUCAGAAAGUAUAUUAUGAUGAGUCUCUUGAGCUCACAUAAGCAUGUUUGAAGAGAAAAAUUGUUGUUUAUGUUUUGAUUCUAGAAUCGUUAUGAUUAAGAUAUUUAUGAUUUUUAACUUCAUGCAUGUUGAGAAUAUUUCAGACGGCAUAAGUGACAUUAUUUGUUGACUUCGGUUAAUUAUGACCUUUUUGACCUGAUAGUUAUGAGUAGGUUGACUCAAUAGUCAACAAAGCUAUGAGCUUAUAAGAGUAUGCUUUGCCUCAUAGUUAGAGAUGCUCUAGCUAAUUCUAUGAUAGGAUUUCAAUCUUUAUAAACUAGACUUUUGUCUAGAGAACUUUAGAAUGAUGAGGAAUAGGACCUUGAUGAACAUAGAAUGCUCUCAGAAUACCUAUGAUGCUUAUAAAACAUAGAAACUUGGUUAGAUCUAGCCUUGCGCUAUUUCUGUUUGAAUGUCAUUGGUCUUUCUUUUUAGACGGACAAACAAGGCGAUAAAUUCUGCAAGCAUUAGACACCAAUGUACUUGCAAAAACAAUAUGACGAGAAGUUCCAUGACUACAUCAAGAACCUAGAUGUUUUCUUCAAGGAAUUUUGGGGGAUUUUCGUGUUUUGAAUAGAUGCGCGCAAUGGAAGAGUAUUAGAUAUCGAAUCAUCAACGAGGCUCGUGCGGCACCUUUCAAAUGAAUGGAAUAUAGGGACAACUAACACAUGCCCAAGAAUUAUGAUCAACGAUUUUUCGCAGUUGACCAAGAGCACCAAGCCAAGGCCAUUUACAUCGUAAGAAGAUCAUAAGAACAAUAUUGAGGAAGCUAUCACAAGAAAUUCACAAGAGAGUAAUUGUCUGCAUAUGUUAUUAGAUUAGUGGUGGUACCAGUUGUGUGGAAUCACGUUUCUGUUGACAUAAUCACCAAACCUUUUGAUUGUAAGGUCGAACUCUUCUACAUCUAACUCAGACCUUACCUAGAACCUCAAUUCUUUUAAUAAAUUCCCAUUCUAUGCUUGUGUAUUCCAAAGAAAACGUUGGAGUACAAUUACAUUCAUUAUAAUACAAGACCCCUUUUUGAGGCAUAUAAUAUACAGGUAUAUUGCUCAUACUUUAGUGCGUGUUAUUCAAAAUUUUCUUCCCUAUAACACGCCUAGUUAUUAUGAUUAAUUUAGAUCCGUCAUUGUUCAAUCGUGUUAAUCAAAAGAACCCUUUUUGAGAUGCACUAUUAUUUUGAAUAUUAUGAAAGUCCUCUUUUGAGGCAAAUAUAUAAGUAAUUUAUUCAUACCUGAUGCGUGUUGUUCAAAUUUGCUUUCUCAUAACACGCCAUUCUUAUGAUUGAUUCACACACGGUAUUGUUAGGACGUAUAACCAAUCGAACCUUUAACCACACAAUGGAUAUGGCAAUAAGAGAGCGUGGACGACGACGAGGAAUUACCCUAAUGAGGUUGCACCACAAGUAGCACAAGACCAUUUAGUAAAAAAAAAAGGAUUUUGCAAAGAGAAGCCACCUAGGCUUGACGGUUUAGGCGAUCCUAUGAAUGCCGAGAAGUGGAUCAAAACAAUGGGAGAAUUUCAUCGGGGAUUAUUUUGGCAGAGUUAUCUGAGAGGUACCCACCAGGAUGUUACCAACGGAGAAAAUAGAGCGAGUUCUGGAACCUGAGGCAGAGGGCUGAAACGGUAACUGAGUAUGAAAGGACUUUCAACCGACUGACACGAUACGCUCCACUCCUAUCUAUACUUAUGAGAAACGCGCGGAGAAGUUCAGGUUCGGAAUGUGCCAUGAGAUAUCAAUUUCCCUAGCAAGUUAGGGAGGUCUCACCUAUGCACAAACACUGAGCAGAGCUCUCACGACCGAGUCAUUGCUACCAAGCUAAUGAGGAAAGAAGAAUGUCAGACUUUCUUAGUCAGUUUGACAUGAGAACCAGAAUCAGGGGAAAACGACCGAAGAAAUUCCAGUGGUUCGAGAUUUCAAAGAUGUUUUUCCCGAAGAAUUUCUCGGUUUACCACCAGAUCGACAAUUGGAAUUUACAAUUGAUUUGGAACCCGGAGCUGCACCUAUGUCCAAGGCGCCAUACAGAAUGGCCCCACCAGAACUACAAGAACUGAAAAUACAACUGCAGGAGUUGUUAGACUUAGGUUUUAUACGACCUAGUGUGUCGCCAUGGAGAGCACCAGUCUUGUUCGUCAAAAAGAAAGAUGGCUCGUUGAGGAUGUGUAUUGACUACCAAGAACUCAACAAGCUCACGAUAAAGAAUAAGUACCCUCUUCCCAGGAUCGAUGAUUUGUUCGACCAGCAGAAAGGAGCAGGCGUAUUUUCCAAGAUAGAUCUUAGGUCCAGCUAUCACCAGCUUAAGAUAAGAAAUGAAGAUAUUCCCAAGACAACAUUUCGAACCCGGUACGAGCAUUAUGAAUUCAUAGUGGUGCCUUUUGGUUUAACCAAUGCACCGGCCGUGUUCGUGGAUUUGAUGAAUCGAGUUUUUCACCAAUUCUUGGACAAAUUCGUUCUGGUUUUUAUCGAUGACAUCCUCAUAUACUUAAAAACGAAGAAACAACACGAGGGGCACCUGCGUAUAGUGCUGGAAACCUUACGAGCAGAACGAUUAUAUGCCAAGUUUAGUAAAUGUGAAUUCUGGCCGAGUGAAGUGAUGUUUCUCGGGCACAUUGUUUUAGCCAAAGGAAUUAUAGUGGAUCCAGCCAAAGUGGAGGCCGUCAAGGAAUGGAGAACACCGACGAACGCCCAUGAGGUCAGAAGCUUUUUAGGAUUGGCAGGUUAUUACAGAAGAUUCAUAGAAGGGUUCUCCAAGCUAGCACUGCUCCAGUGUUAGUGAUACCAAAAGAAAAUGAAAGAUUCGUGGUGUGCACCAUAACUCGAAGCUAGGACCGGAUUGCGUGUUGAUGUAAAAAUUAAAAAGUGAUAGCAUACGCGUCUCGUCAACUGAAGCCCCAUGAACUGAACUACCCGACCCGUGACUCAGAACUAGCAGCCGUUAAACACACGACACGAAGUAUGUAGCCCCACCCAAGAAGCACGAAAAUGUAUCAAGACUUGAAGAAAAAUGUUUCAGUUGAAAGGAAUGAAGAGAGGUAUAGUUCUGUUCGUGGAACGAUGUCUUGCAUACCAGCAAAUCAAAGCUCUGCGCCCAAAACCCUACAAAACGCUACAACAGUUGCCGAUUCCGGAAUGAAAAUAAGAGCAUACCAAUAUAGGAUUUGUGGUGAACUUACCUAGAUCAACGCAUAGAGACACGAUCAUUUGGGUGAUCGUGAAUCGCCUAUCAAGUUCGGCACAUUUCCUCCCCAUACAAUACUUUCAGAUUGGAGAAGCUUGCGGAGCUAGAGGUUAAAGAAAUUGUGCGUCUUGGUGAUGUACCUGAGUCAAUCACAUCUGAUCGUGAUUUCAAAUUCACAGUUAGAUUCUGGAGGAACUUACAAGAAGCCAUGGGCACCAAGAUAAACUUCAGCAUAACUUACCACCACCAAACAAACGGUCAAUCUGAAUGAACAAUCCAAUUAUUGGAAGAGGUGCUUCGAGCAAUUGUUGUAGAGAAAUGAGGUGAUUGUGAGGACCUGCUGCCUUUCAUGGAGUUCACCUAUGAUGACAGCUACCAGUCAACGAUUGGAAUGACCUUACGAAGCGCUACAUGGACGUGAAUGCAGAUUACCACUUUAUUGGGAAGAAGCAGGUGAGCGAAAAUUAUUGGGACUGGAACUAGUUCAACAGAUGAUUGAGAGAGUCGACCAGAUUAAGCAGAAGAUAAAAGAAGCACAAGAUAGACAAAAGUCAGAUGUCGAUACACGAUGCACUGAAUUAGAAUUCAAUGUUGAGGAUCGACUCUUUCUCAAAAUUUCCAAAAAAAAAAAAUGAAUUAUUCGUUUCAGAAGUAGAGAUAAAUUGCGACCCCGCUAUGUAAGACCUUUCGAGACCCUAGGUAGAGUAGGACUCAUAGCUGAUAUGUUGGCACCGCCACCUAGCAUUUAGGACGUACACAAUGUGUUUUACGUUUUACAAUUACGAAAGUACGUGUUUGAUCCAAAGUGCGUAGUAAAGUAGGAUGAAGUAGUUCUAGCCCAACACCUGAACUAUGGAGAUAAGCCAAUCCCGAUGCUUGAUCGAAAGAUCCAAGUUUUAAGAAACAAGCAAAUCCCUUGGUUAGUACUUUGGUGCCACCAUGGUAUAGAAAAAGCGAAGUGAGAACUAGAAGAAAAGUUGUAAGCUCAAAGCCCCGAGUUAGAUUGCUACGACUUGUAAAUUUCGAGGACGAAAUUUUUUUAAGGAGGGUGGUAUGUGACAUCCCGACAUUUUCAUAAGAAAUAUAGAAGACCAUUAAUUAAGUAUACUUCCCGACAUUUUCAUAAGAAAUAUAGAAGACCAUUAAUUAAGUAUACUAUUGAUACACGUUCGAUAUUUUAUAAUUAUAUUAUAUCAAGGAGAUUGAUAUAGAUUUAUAUUCAUUAUAAUUAUUUUGAUCAAUCAAAAUUUUGAGACAUUACUAAAUUAUAUGAGAAAUGUUUACUACUAGUAUUUUUCAUUUUAUCUAUCAUAUAUUUUAAUUAUUUAUUUAUUUAUGUCUAUUAAGUUUUAAGCAUAAAUAUAGCAUUAUUUUAUGAGCCCAAUUUCAAAUAUUUUUAUUUCUGCAGAGCAUCUUUUACUUACCCAAGAAAUAUUUCUCUUUCCAAUAAAUCCAAUAAUAUCAAAUCUUCCCAUUUAUCCCCAUAUCUAGCAAAAUCUGAUACUUUGUUUUUAAAUCUUGCCAAUCUAUCUAUGCAUACCCUCUGCCAUUUCCUUUAUCUUAAAAACUAAGAUUUCCAUUCAUCCCUCACAAUUCACUCUCUGCAAUUCACUCUCUGCAAAGAAAGAUUUCAGAUUCAAGAUCAAGACUCAGUCAAGCUUCACACACUUCAUCCUAUCGACAUUUCUUAAGGUUCCAUCAUAAACUUCUCUUACCUCUUUUUCCUUUCACAGCAAGAUUCGAGAUUUCCAAUCAACCAUAAGUUUACAUGUUUUGCAAAACUGUAAAAGAUGCAAACUUUUAUAUAUAAUCAUAUUCGGUCACAUCAUCAUUGUGUGUGUGUGUGUGUAUAUAUAUAUAUAUAUAUUAUAGAUAUUCAAAGAUUUAAGAAUACGGCUUUCACAAAAAAAAAAUGAGGGAGAAGUAGAUUUUUGAAGCUGUGUUUGCAUUCUUCGUUUUCAACUUUCAAUGUCGAGUCGGGAAGGGUGGGAGUGUUGACUGGUUGGCUGAAUCGGAGCUCGGCGGCGGCGGUGGCGGCCUGGCAGCUGCUGUCCGUCAAAGCCAGAGAGGAGAGGGGAGAACAGAGGGCAAUCUUGAGGGUGAAAUCGGCGACUGGCAGCGGUGGUUUGUUGCUGUCGAUGACGGUGGCAUCCGCUUGCUGCAAUCGCCGGAAUGGUGGAGAGCAGUAGGGGUGGCCUUCGUUUUGCUCACCGGAGUUUGAAGGGAGAUGGAACAAUGGCAGAUUGAGAGGGAGAAUCGGAGGUGGUAGUGGCGAGGGCGGCGGCGCGACGGUCCUUCGGGAUGCCGUUGCUCGACCGACCGAGAGGGAGAAAGAAGAGCAGGCAGCGGUGUUGUUGCGGUCGCCGUCGCGGCGCUGUGGUCGCCGGAGUGAUCGCCCACCGCGAGCAGGAGGAGAGAAAGAGACGGCGAGAGAGGAUGGGCCGUGAGGAGGCGCGGCUGCCGUCGACUCGCCGGGACUGGAGAAGGCGGCGGCGGCGGAUCUGUGGAGGGAGAAGAGGCGGUGGUUUUGAGAGAGAGAAAAAGAGUAAUUUUUGAGAGAGAGAGAGGACCGAUGGAGGGGUUGAGGAGAGAGAGAUGAGCUUGUUUUAAUUAUUCCUUUUUUUAUAGGGCUUUAUUUCUUUAAAGUUUGGACUUUCAUUUUGGGCCUCAAUAAUUAUUUUGCUAUGGGCCGACUCUUUUAUUAAUUUGAUGGACUGAUUUCUAUUUGUGAAUGGGCUGCUUUUUUUUUUAAACAAAAGCUAUGUGUUCAGUUUAUAUAUUUUACUUGAGCUCAUUUAAAUUGGGUAGGCCUAUUACAUUAUUUUCUUAAACCUUAAUUAUUAUUUUGAGCCUGUAAAUAUUUUAGUAAAUUUUAUUUACUUUUCUCCCAAUAUUAAGGUUUUGUAUUUUCUUUAAAUUAUUAACUAUUUAUAAAUUUAGUGAUAAUUAUAUUUAUUAAGUUAUUAAUUAUGUAUUAAAAGUUUAUGGAUUCACUUAAAGAUAUUAUAGAAUUCUUAUUCGGGCAAAGUGUAUCAAUAGUUAGCAAUCCCCAUAAUUGUUUAGAAGUUAGAAUAGCACCAAGAGACCUAUUAAGAAUAGAUUUCUUGUAGGCUUGAGGAUCAGGAGGAUUAGCACUGCGUUUCCGUGACGGGUUUACGAUUAAACUACAGGCUUUGCCUAUUCAGGUGGGUUAUAUUUUGCAUACAAUGUAUCUUGAGUUAUAUAAGCUCUGAUAUUUCAUGAAAAUUAUCUGUUUAUCCAAUAUAAAUGUUUUUAUGUGCGUUCUGUAAUUGUUUAAGGCUCACUUAAGUAUCGAUCGAGAUUCUCAUUUGGCCUAACACGCUAAACGAGGAUUGUGUACACAGGGUUAGUGGCUCGAUGGGUUGAUCACCAUCGUGCACUAACAGAUUUAGAACGUUAUAAGGGUGGGUGCUUGACAGGAGGUUAUCCGGAGCACGGUGCUUGACAGGAGGUUAUCCGGAGCACAGUUAAGGUUAUUGAUUCCGACCGGG
rnacentral:lncRNA from 1 species